AUGGGCCCCAGGCCCCUGUGCUGUGGGGCCCUUUGCCUCCUGGGAGCAGGUGCCUUAGACACGGCAGUUCUGCAGACUCCAAAAUAUCUCACCACACAGAUGGGAACUAAGAAGCCCCUGAAAUGUGAACAAAAGCUGAACCAUGAUAGUAUGCACUGGUAUAAGCAGGGCUCCAAGCAAUUGCUGAAGAUUAUGUUUGUCUACAGUAAUAAGGUACUCAUUCUCAGCGAAACAGUGCCAAGUCGUUUCUCACCAGAAUCUCCUGACAAAGCUCAUUUAAACUUUCACAUCAACUCCUUGGAGCCAGGCGACUCUGCCGUGUGUUUCUGUGCCGGCAGCUAA